rnacentral:rRNA from 1 species
UACGGGGGGGGCAAGCGUUGUUCGGAAUUACUGGGCGUAAAGGGUGCGUAGGCGGCUUUCUAAGUCGGAUGUGAAAACUCUGGGCUCAACCCAGAGCCUGCAUCCGAAACUGGAGAGCUAGGGUUCUGGAGGGGAAAGCGGAAUUCCUGGUGUAGCGGUGUAAUGCGUAGAUAUCAGGAGGAACACCGGUGGCGAAGGCGGCUUUCUGGACAGAUACCGACGCUGAGGCACGAAAGCUAGGGGAGCAAACAGG